GGCACACAACUACAACUCCUCCUCCACAACCUCCUUCUACUAGUAGAGCCUCUACCAGGACUACUGUGACCAAUUCAAAGCAUACUUCAUCUCCUUCUCCUCCACCUCCUCCUGUCACUACCACCAGACCCUCCACUAGGAAUGCUUCAAGGUCUACCAAUAAUUCAAGGCAUACAACUACAACUUCAUCUCCUCCUCCUCCACAACCUCCUCCUACUAGUAGAGCCUCUACCAGGACUACUGUGACCAAUUCAAAGCCUUCCACUGCCAGGAAAGACACGCCUCCUCUUAUCAUUGAUAGCAUACAGGAUGUAGCUUCUCCUUCUAAAGCUGCUCCAAUUGAUCAGUUGCCUAAUGCUUCUCCUUUGAAGACUGUUGUGAAGUCAAGGAGGAAACGGAAGAAAAUAACUUGCCCUCCACCACGACGACGCCAACCAACCAAGAGGACUAUCACUGAGAUCACUCGAAGGACUGAUCUCACUCCUGGAGUAAGGAGGAGUAACAGACCGAAUAUUAAGAGGGUGCCAAUUGGUGGAUAUGUAGAGUAUAAGGACCACUGGGGGAACACACCCAGCAAUACU